rnacentral:rRNA from 1 species
UACGAGGGGAGCUAGCGUUGUUCGGAAUUACUGGGCGUAAAGCGCGCGUAGGCGGCUAUUCAAGUCAGAGGUGAAAGCCCGGAGCUCAACUCCGGAACUGCCUUUGAAACUAGAUAGCUAGAAUCAUGGAGAGGUUAGUGGAAUUCCGAGUGUAGAGGUGAAAUUCGUAGAUAUUCGGAAGAACACCAGUGGCGAAGGCGACUAACUGGACAUGUAUUGACGCUGAGGUGCGAAAGCGUGGGGAGCAAACAGG